AUUGAACGCUGGCGGCAUGCCUUACACAUGCAAGUCGAACGGCAGCGGACCUUCGGGUGCCGGCGAGUGGCGAACGGGUGAGUAAUAUAUCGGAACGUACCUUUCAGUGGGGGAUAACGUAGCGAAAGUUACGCUAAUACCGCAUAUUCUGUGAGCAGGAAAGCAGGGGAUCGCAAGACCUUGCGCUGAUUGAGCGGCCGAUAUCAGAUUAGCUAGUUGGUGAGGUAAAGGCUCACCAAGGCGACGAUCUGUAGCGGGUCUGAGAGGAUGAUCCGCCACACUGGAACUGAGACACGGUCCAGACUCCUACGGGAGGCAGCAGUGGGGAAUUUUUGGACAAUGGGCGCAAGCCUGAUCCAGCCAUGCCGCGUGAGUGAAGAAGGCCUCGGUUGUAA
rnacentral:rRNA from 1 species